AUGAUCGCGGCCGCAAGUCCCGAAAGGGUGCGGGUGAGGAAAGUCCGGGCUUCAUAGAGCAGGAUACCGGCUAACGGCCGGCGGAGGCAACUCCCGGGAAAGUGCAACAGAAAUAAACCGCUAACACGCAGUUAAUGCUUCUUAUGAAGAAGUAUCUGUAGCUUGCAUUUUUGAUUUUAUCUAAUUUGCAAGGUUAGUAAGGGUGGAAAGGCAGUGUAAGAGACUACCGUGCCGAUGGUAACAUCGGUAGCCAUGUAAACCCUAUCCGAAGCAAGACCGAAUAGAAAGCGUUGACCCUGCUCGGUGAGCUUUCAGGUGGGUCGCUUGAAACGGCUGGUAACAGACGUGCUAGAUAGAUGAUCAUUCUCGACAUAACCCGGCUUAUAGUCCUUCUCA
rnacentral:RNase_P_RNA from 1 species